AUGUCUUUUUGAAAAUAAUAUAAAGUCUAAUCUGCCCACUGAUUUUAAAUUAAAGGGCUGCAGUAUUUUGACUGUACAAAGGUAGCAUAAUCAUUAGUCAUUUAAUUGAUGACUUGAAUGAAGGAUUGGAUGAGAUAUAAACUGUCUCUUAAUUAUAUUUAUAGAAUUUAAUUUUUUUAUUAAAAAGUUAAAAUGAUUUAAAAAGACGAGAAGACCCUAUAGAGUUUUAUAAAUAUUUUAAUUAAGAUUAUUUUGUGAGUUAAUUUUAAAAUUAAAUUAUUUAUUUUAUUGGGGUGAUAGAAAAAUAUAUAAAACUUUUUUUAAAUAUAUAUAUAUAUAUAAAUUAACAUUUAUAAGUGAUUAUAUGAUCCAAUAAUAUUGAUUAUAAGAAAAAAUUACCUUAGGGAUAACAGCGUAAUUUUUUUUUUUAGCUCAAAUAAGAAAAAGAGUUUGCGACCUCGAUGUUGGAUUAAGAUAAAAUUUAAAUGUAGAAGUUUAAAAUUUUGAUCUGUUCGAUCAUUAAAAUCUUAC
rnacentral:rRNA from 1 species